UACGGAGGAUGCAAGCGUUAUCCGGAUUUAUUGGGUUUAAAGGGUGCGUAGGCGGAAUAUUAAGUCAGUAGUGAAAUCCUGCAGCUCAACUGUAGAACUGCUAUUGAUACUGAUAUUCUUGAAUAUAGUUGAGGUGGGCGGAAUGUGUAAUGUAGCGGUGAAAUGCUUAGAUAUUACACAGAACACCGAUUGCGAAGGCAGCUCACUAAACUAUUAUUGACGCUGAGGCACGAAAGCGUGGGGAGCGAACAGG
rnacentral:rRNA from 1 species